rnacentral:misc_RNA from 1 species
CACGGAGCAUUUUGGUGUAUUCUCUUCAGGUUCCUGUGCUGUCUACCUUCGGAAUGGUAUUUAACCGACCUCGAAUAUUUGGUUCAUCCGUAUCUCUUUAUGGGAUGAUGGUGGAUUUUAAUGCAACGCCUGUGUUCCACAUCAGUUCUUCAUUGUGAAGUUUCUGUGGCAUGCAUGUGGCUGUUGUUCUUUCGGAUGCAGUGCAUGCGAUAAUCGUGGGUUUAAGUGUCCCGUUCGGUUUCUAAAUUUUCGGUUGCCUUAGAAUGACAUCUGUCUSGGUGCCUGUGAUGUUUUCCCUUCAGGGGGGACAACAUUUGCGCCCUGAGCACGGUCAUUAACGGGUGUUA